GAUGAACGCUGGCGGCGUGCUUAACACAUGCAAGUCGAACGGGAAACCUUUUAUUGAAGCUUCGGCAGAUUUAGCUGGUUUCUAGUGGCGGACGGGUGAGUAACGCGUGGGUAACCUGCCUUAUACAGGGGGAUAACAGUCAGAAAUGGCUGCUAAUACCGCAUAAGCGCACAGAGCUGCAUGGCUCAGUGUGAAAAACUCCGGUGGUAUAAGAUGGACCCGCGUUGGAUUAGCUGGUUGGUGGGGUAACGGCCCACCAAGGCGACGAUCCAUAGCCGGCCUGAGAGGGUGAACGGCCACAUUGGGACUGAGACACGGCCCAGACUCCUACGGGAGGCAGCAGUGGGGAAUAUUGCACAAUGGGGGGAACCCUGAUGCAGCGACGCCGCGUGAAGGAAGAAGUAUCUCGGUAUGUAAACUUCUAUCAGCAGGGAAGAUAAUGACGGUACCUGACUAAGAAGCCCCGGCUAACUACGUG
rnacentral:rRNA from 1 species